rnacentral:lncRNA from 12 species
GCCCUGUCAGUCUGCAGAAAAAGAACAUGUUGCUCAUGGCUGGUUAUUCUCUUUUCAGAGCGCUGAACUUGGCAGUAAAAUCAGUAGAAGUAAAGGGCAGAGGCAUGGGACUGGCAGGGAUACCGCAGCCCCUGCGGAGAGGCUGUCUGCACAUGACAUAACAGUCACCACGGGAUCCGCAGGGCUACUGCUUGUGCAUUGGUGUCACUGGAGAAACUAAUCAAGUGGAUUUUCUGGAAACAAGUUUUGCUAAAGCAAUUCCAAUAUAGGAAAUUGUAAGCACUGGACAUUCUCAUAGCGGGGAUAAGGUCACUUGAAGGAGCUUUGUGCUACCCUGCAAACAACACUGACCUUCUUUUACUUAGAGCAACAUGCAAUAUUCACCAUGGAGAAAACAAAGCAGAGUCACUAUUUUGUGUUCCCUGUGUUCUUCAAGUCGAUUAGAAUCGUGUUGCCAUGGUGAUACCUCAUAUAGUUUCGGACACAAAAGAUUUAAGACACGUUCAUUCCAGUGGAAUUGUAGAAUUGCUUAGAAUAUGGUUGAAAUCUGAAAACUAUUUGGGGGACUUCGAUGAAUAUUUUUCAUCUUUUAU